rnacentral:rRNA from 1 species
UACGGGAGGCCUAACAAUGCAAGUCGAGGGGUAACGGAAGUAGCUUGCUACUAGACGACGACCGGCGCACGGGUGAGUAACGCGUAUGUAAUCUGCCUUGUACAGAGGGAUAGCCCAGAGAAAUUUGGAUUAAUACCUCAUAGUAUUACCGAAUCGCAUGAUUUGGUAAUUAAAGCUCCGGCGGUACAAGAUGAACAUGCGUGACAUUAGCUAGUUGGUAAGGUAACGGCUUACCAAGGCCACGAUGUCUAGGGGUUCUGAGAGGAUGAUCCCCCACACUGGUACUGAGACACGGACCAGACUCCUACGGGAGGCAGCAGUGAGGAAUAUUGGUCAAUGGACGCAAGUCUGAACCAGCCAUCCCGCGUGAAGGAUGACUGCCCUAUGGGUUGUAAACUUCUUUUAUAUGCAAAUAAACCUACUUUCGUGAAAGUAGCUGAAGGUAGCAUAUGAAUAAACACCGGCUAACUCCGUGCCAGCAGCCGCGGUAAUACGGAGGGUGUAAGCGUUAUCCGGAUUUAUUGGGUUUAAAGGGUACGUAGGCGGUAAUAUAAGUCAGUGGUGAAAUCCUGCAGCUCAACUGUAGAACUGCCAUUGAAACUGUAUUACU